UUUAAGUCAGCGGUGAAAGUCUGUGGCUCAACCAUAGAAUUGCCGUUGAAACUGGAGGGCUUGAGUAUGUUUGAGGCAGGCGGAAUGCGUGGUGUAGCGGUGAAAUGCUUAGAUAUCACGCAGAACCCCGAUCGCGAAGGCAGCCUGCCAAGCCAUGACUGACGCUGAUGCACGAAAGCGUGGGGAUCAAACAGGAUUAGAUACCCUGGUAGUCCACGCAGUAAACGAUGAUCACUAGCUGUUUGCGAUACACGGUAAGCGGCACAGCGAAAGCGUUAAGUGAUCCACCUGGGGAGUACGCCGGCAACGGUGAAACUCAAAGGAAUUGACGGGGGCCCGCACAAGCGGAGGAACAUGUGGUUUAAUUCGAUGAUACGCGAGGAACCUUACCCGGGUUUGAACGCAUUUCGACCGCUCUGGAAACAGAGCCUCUAGCAAUAGCGAUUUGCGAGGUGCUGCAUGGUUGUCGUCAGCUCGUGCCGUGAGGUGUCGGCUUAAGUGCCAUAACGAGCGCAACCCUUGCCACUAGUUACUAACAGGUUAGGCUGAGGACUCUGGUGGGACUGCCAGCGUAAGCUGCGAGGAAGGCGGGGAUGACGUCAAAUCAGCACGGCCCUUACAUCCGGGGCGACACACGUGUUACAAUGGCGUGGACAAAGGGAAGCCACCUGGCGACAGGGAGCGAAUCCCCAAACCACGUCUCAGUUCGGAUCGGAGUCUGCAACCCGACUCCGUGAAGCUGGAUUCGCUAGUAAUCGCGCAUCAGCCAUGGCGCGGUGAAUACGUUCCCGGGCCUUGUACACACCGCCCGUCAAGCCAUGGGAGCCGGGGGUACCUGAAGUCCGUAACCGCGAGGAUCGGCCUAGGGUAAAACUGGUGACUGGGGCUAAG
rnacentral:rRNA from 1 species